GACCUGGAUGACCAGGAAGCCAGCAACUCGACCAGAAUGGCAGGCUGUGGAAAGAAGUCAUUUGGUGAGCUUCAGACUGAAGUAAAAGAGGAGCCUACUGGGCCACAGUAGUGAGGAAUUGGGAUAUCAUGAGAAGGAACCAUAGCCUUCAGCCCAAGUUUAAGUGGUUUCCCCUGUUGUGUCUCUCUCUUCAAAGUCAGCUGGUGGCUAUUUUGACAUGGGUUUGGCAGUAAGGCAGAAGAUUAUAGGACUCCCCUUCCUCCAGGACCUGAAGAUGGAAUCCCCAGAGUCUUAAGAGGAGCCACCAGAAAAAGGUCAAAAGACAUCUACUAGAAGCUUUCUUCGAUACCACCUGAGUUCACUGUAGAAGGCAACUUUGGUGAGUAAGUAAAAGUUCAAAAUGCAUUUGUGUGGAAUAAAUUGCUUUCUAGCAUUCUUU
rnacentral:lncRNA from 10 species